AUGCAACGUAGGUUGUUGAAUUUCUUCUGGAAAAGGGAGCAGAUAUCACUCUUUGUAAUUACAGCAAUCAAACUGCAGUUCAUGUGGCUAAUUGUGAUGUGCAUAGACAACUAUUGGCCAUCAGUGAAAUCCAAGCCCCCCAAAUGCAACUUCUACAAAGCUCAUGGCAAGGCGAUCUUGAACAACUUCAACACUUGCUGGUCAGUUAAAUUGAUGUUUGCUUCUGCCUUUGGAUAGGUGGAUGGGUAAAUGGUAAGAAAGGCAUAGACUACAUAUGGCUUCUUUUAAAGAAAAAUAAAUUCAUUUCAAAUGCAGUCCCAGAAAGUUUCAGGAAGAAAAUAGGAGAAAGAAACAGGAUCAAACAGGAUACUGGGGUGGAAAACAGGAUAAUAAAAGAGCACAGCAGCAGUCUAUUUCCACCUUCCUCCAGCUGGAUGCUAUAAGUCACGCAGCACCCACGGGAAAUGAGAUGCUCCCAGAAUGCCCCCAGAGAACUGCUGUCAACUUGCUCAGAGGAGUUCCCUUGACAUCAUUGCCAUUUGUACAAUUGCUGUUUAGAUCCCUUUGGACCAGCUGCACUUAUUAUCUUUAUCCUGAAAAGGGAAUCAGAGAGCCUAUGCUUUGCAGAUUUAGUUGUAGCUAAAGGAGUAAAGAGGACAUGUUUUUUAAAUGCUUUCUUCUUAAGGUAUCCAUCUUCUUGUUUAGAUCUUCUAGCCACAGAAAAGCUUUCCCAAAGUAACUUACAAAACCAUAUGCAUAAAUAAGGACUUUAAUUAUUGGUGACCGGCAACUGUCUACUCUUGGUAUUUACCUUCAGAAAUGCUAUCAGAUCACAUGACCUUCCAACCGAAAGAAAAUCAAUUGCUGCUAGGAAACAGUUUCUUCCAUUCCUUUAUGGUAGAGACACAAACAAAUAAAAGUGAAC
rnacentral:lncRNA from 1 species